CCCCAGACUCCUACGGGAGGCAGCAGUGGGGAAUAUUGGACAAUGGGGGGAACCCUGAUCCAGCGACGCCGCGUGAGUGAAGAAGUAUUUCGGUAUGUAAAGCUCUAUCAGCAGGGAAGAAAAUGACGGUACCUGACUAAGAAGCCCCGGCUAACUACGUGCCAGCAGCCGCGGUAAUACGUAGGGGGCAAGCGUUAUCCGGAUUUACUGGGUGUAAAGGGAGCGUAGACGGCAGCGCAAGUCUGAAGUGAAAUGCCGGGGCUUAACCCCGGAACUGCUUUGGAAACUGUGCAGCUAGAGUGCAGGAGAGGUAAGUGGAAUUCCUAGUGUAGCGGUGAAAUGCGUAGAUAUUAGGAAGAACACCAGUGGCGAAGGCGGAUGACUGGACGACAACUGACGGUGAGGCGCGAAAGCGUGGGGAGCAAACAGGAUUAGAUACCCUCGUAUU
rnacentral:rRNA from 1 species